CCCAAAGGCCAUCCUACCGGGGCCCUUGUCGCUAGUACUCUGUCCAUCCGGCAUACUAUAGAAUGGCGAUCUACGGGGCCCCUAAAUCGGCGGGGCCCCAGGCGACCUCCUAGUCCGCCUACUGUUAGAUCCGCCACUGGUUCGGAUUUUAAACUUUCUCCCAAAAAUGUAUGGUUUAAAAUGGUUUACUGCCCAAUGCAUAGCUGUCAGUUCUUUUUCUAUCGUUGGUUUGGAUUUUUCCCCUUUUGUAAAACUUUUACUUGCAAAGGCAAUUGGUAAAUCAUAAUUAUCUUUUAUCUAGGAUAGAAUUGCGCCACAUGCAACAUCCGAUGCAUCUGUUGUGAUAAUAAACUCUUUUUCAAAAUCUGGAUACUGUAAUAUAUUUGGUGAUGCUAAAUUCCUUCUGAGAGUAUCGAACGCGUACUGACAUUCUUUCGACCAGCAGAACAUUGACCCUUUCUUUAAUAAAUUAUUUAGUGGAUUUGCUAUUUCUGCAAAACUACGAAUAAACUUACGAUAGUAGUUGCAAAAGGCAACAAAUCUUCUAACAUCAUCGGCAUUUUUGGGUAAAGGAUAGUUUUUAAUGGUAUCAAACUUAGAUUCAUCAGGAUAUAUACCUUUAUCCGUGAUCUUGUGCCCUAAGUAAGUUACACUUCUCUGGAAGAAUUUGCAUUUUGAUGGAUUCAGCUUCAAAUUGUAACAACGUAGUCUAUCAAAAACUUUUCUUAAAUUUUCAAGGUGAUGUUUUAUUUUACAACCUGUUAUUAUCAUCAAUAUAGACGAAAGCACUCUCUGGGGUCAAUCCUGCCAUUGCUAUGGUUAUCAUACGCUGAAAGCUAUUAGGGCUUAUAUUCAACCCAAAAGGUAAUCUUUUAAAUUGAUAGUGUCCUGAUGAUGUUGAAAAAGCUGUAUAUUUUCUUGAUUCUUUGUGCAAAGGGAUUUGAUGAAACCCGGACAUCAGGUCUAAGGUGCUGAAAUAUUUUGCUCUACCUAAUUGGUCCAAAAUAGUAUCGAUUCUAAGCAAAGGGAAUUUAUCAGGCAUAUUUUUUUUAUUUAGUUGUCUGAAAUCAACAACUAACCUCCAUUUUUUACUGGUAUCUUCGGAUUUUUUUGGAACCAAGAGGAUAGGCGAAUUAUAUGAUGAGACCGAAUGUUCUAUUAUGUCAUUUUUGAGCAGCUUAUCUACCUGAUUUUUUAUUUCAUUACUUUGAGAAUAAAUUUGUUUAUAAUUUGGAAUAUAACAUGGUACAUUAUCUUUCAACUCUAUUCAUUGCUCGUAAAAAUUGUUAGUAGGUAUUUGCUCAUCAUCAGUGCAAAAUACAUCACUAUAUUCAAUGUGAAUUUUUUUUCUAAAUCUGAAAUUAUAUAAUUUGGAAUAUUUUUAUACUCUAUUUGUUUGAGAAUUUCGUUUAUUUUAGACUGGCGUUUUAAACUAUUUUUGGAUAUUUUAUUUUUAGUUGUGUAGUUCUUAACUGGAUCAACCAGAGGUUUGAAUGAAUUAUUGGCGAUGAACACAUUAUUAUCAGUAGUGUUUAUAAACUUUACAUACUGUUUAUCGAUUGAUACCAAGGAGUUGCCGCAAAAAAUUCCUGGUUUAAUUUCAUUUACAAGAACGAUUGAAUCUUCGGUUAACUUAUUAGAUUUUACUCUUCGUACUACUUCACUACGUAACGGCAGUAUAAAACCAUCAUCGAUACUAUCUUCGAUUGGGUGACAUAUUGUUAUGCCCUCAUAGUUGAAGUUUAAAAGCCAGUGAUCAUAAUCGAUUACGCAUUUAUGUUUUGUGAGAAAAUCUCUUCCCAACUUACCGUCUACCUUUAUAUCUAUAUCUUUAGGUAUGAUGUGAAAUUUAUGAUUAACAGACACGUUGCCAAAUGAUAUAUUAGUAAACGUGGCUGUUAAUGUAUUUAUAGAAUUAUUAGUAAUACCUGUUAGAUUUAUUUUAUUUUGUUUACAAACUUGUUGUUUUAACUUUAUUUUAUCCACUUUGAAUAAUGACACAUCUGGUCCAGUAUCUAAAAUCAGUAUGCUUGUUUUAUUGGAAUCCAUUUCAAUUUGAACUUUUAUGAAAUUACUAGCAUGGAAAUUUAUUGCGAAUGUUGAUACUUUUCCGUACUCUGGAGAGUUUCUUCCAGUGUAUCUGGAUCCCCUAAAAAAUGCUCCUGUUCUUCAGCUUGCGCUGUGUAUAGCCUAUUAAAAUUUGUGUUUGAUGCUGGCAUUCGCCUUUGACUGGUAUGAAAAUAUAUUUUAUUUUGAAAUCUAUUGUUAUCGGGUUGAUUGUUAUUGUACGUGUAACGAUUGCCAACCCCUCUAUUAUGUGUAUUUUGCAUAUAUCUACUAUUUGUGUUAUGGGGAAAUUUGCUGCGGAAAAAUCUUCGGUUACUAUUUAUGUGUAGUGUGUAAUAGUAAUUUCUUCCGAAGGAUAAUAUUUGCAUAUCAUUAUUAUUUUUUCAUUUUCUAACACCUUUUCAAAAGCAUCAGAAAUACAAGAAAAUUUACCCGCUUUUAAAAGGAUUCUUGUUUCCUGAUUUUUUACUUUUUCAAUAAGAGUGUUAACACCUUGUUUUAACGCCAUUUCUUUUGCUACCUGCUCGGGUAUUUCAUGUUGUAAAUAAACGUUUUUAAGUUUAGUGCUGAGUAGUUCAACUUCAUCACAAAGAGUUUUAGUGUCUCCAUGACGAAUCGCUUUUAAUUGACAUAUAAUUCUGUCGGGGUUUAGUUUUUCUUGACACCUGAACCUAACAUCAUUUAUUAAUGACUCAAAAUUAUCAAUGUUAGGCGAUUAACCUAAUCGUGCCUUUCCUGUUAAUCUGGUCUUUAAAAAUUUAACCAACAUUAGUGUGUUUUUUGGAAAAAGCUCAUUUAAUAAGUUGGCGGAAUCCACAAAAUUGUCUAACCCAUCCGGGUUGCCAUCAUAUGUGUGUACCAGUGCAGUAGCUGUUUUGAUGUCAAAAUUGUCCAUUUUGCUUUCACUCCAACGACCGAACACGACAACGAGUUUGGCUAAGGUUUUAAAUUUAAUCCGAAUACGGUUUGAUUGAUGAUAGUUUAUGUGGGUUCGAAUAUUACCAAAAAUUUCAAUGAUCUCUUUUAAAAUUUGUUUGAGUUCAAUGUUGUUUGUUAAUGGUUCUAUUUCUUGAUAACUAUUCAGAUAGGCCUUAGUUUUUUCAAGUAGGCGGUUUGCAGAGGCACUAUAGUGUUCAAGCAGACAUCCGCGAAACUUUCUAUCACCAGAUAAUGUUUUUUUCAAUUUUUUUAAUCUUAGAACAUUUUCGUUUAUUUUUGAUAGCAUUGAAAAAUGGGAAGUUGGGUAAUGUAAAGGAAGUAUGUUUUUUUUUGUAAUAUUGUGAGCAACCAGUGCACGAAAUUAAAUAAACGUAUAUUUAAUUGAGCAAUUACAAUAAUAUCAUUAAUACAUUUCUCUAUUCUAUUGCCUACCUUGUUCUAUUUCCUAACUUACGCUUAGUCCUUACGCCGCUGCCCGCCCGCUUGGCAAAGAGUUACUCAUUUUGAUGCCUUUCGCUACCCCUGGCCUUAGUUUUAAAGGAAUCAUGCGACACACUCGCACUCCACUACCCCAUCCCGUGGAAAAACGUUCCCACCAUCGAGGUGUUGACCAAAAUUUCGCUGUGUGCAUGAGACACACACUCGCACUCCUCCAGCCCUCCACAGCUGAACGCUCCCACCGUUGCGAAGUUGCGAGAAUUUUUGCUCUGAGCGUGAGACCCUGAAGCGCAAGGGAUGACACUAUGUGCAAAGACGAUCAUAAUUCGAUAUGGUCAAAAUGCGUCGAUUGUCGUUUCAUUUAUCUGGUAAUGAUGAUUUCACUUCAUCAAAAUUUUAAAUGAUCACAACUAGGCUGAUAACAAUAUUUGAAAUGUAAAUCAGAAUAAAAUCAAUUCAUUUGAAGUAAAAUAAAUACCAUUAUACUCUAUUUUGUCCAUAUGAUCAACACUUGUACAUAGUGCCAUUUACUUUGUGUUCUUCACUCUCGCGCUGUGUUGUGAUCGUUCGAAACUCAUCGCCAGAACGAAUGCAAAUUUCAUUUGGGAAGGAUCGGUGCCGGUAGAUGCGAAAAUGAUUAAAUGUGAAUAGAAAAGUGGUUAAGUAAUUCGUGAAAGAUGUCAAUGCAGGCGUAAAUGCAGUAUGCUUUGUUACAUGAUCUACGGGUAAGUGCAUGCAUAAGAAGAAGAAUCUUCCAAAUGAUGUUUGUGUUCUAACAAUUGUACUGCUUUUAAUGUUUGUUUAUUCUUCUAUUAUUUGCCAUCACACCUAGCUAUUUCAUUACGAAAGCACCUGAUAACCGAUCAAAGAAGGUGAAUCGGGCUUACAGAGUCGCCGUUUAUAUUCAAAUAUCUUCGUGAUCGGCAAACGCAUCAAACAGCAAGUGUUUCUCUUCCAACAGCACACGCUAUCGGUGGAGAAAGCAGCCAACGUUUCGUUCGUCCAGCACGCACCAUCAAGAAUUGAAAUAUUCCCGAAUAGCUCUGUGAAUAAAAAACUGCACAAUUACUGUCCGAA